AUUCUUAUAGCUUAUAUAGAGCAUAGUAUUGAAGAUACUAAGGAGAUAAAAUAAUCUUUGAAUA
rnacentral:tRNA from 1 species